GACGAACGCUGGCGGCGUGCUUAACACAUGCAAGUCGAACGGAAAGGCCCUGCUUUUGUGGGGUGCUCGAGUGGCGAACGGGUGAGUAACACGUGAGUAACCUGCCCUUGACUUUGGGAUAACUUCAGGAAACUGGGGCUAAUACCGGAUAGGAGCUCCUGCUGCAUGGUGGGGGUUGGAAAGUUUCGGCGGUGGGGGAUGGACUCGCGGCUUAUCAGCUUGUUGGUGGGGUAGUGGCUUACCAAGGCUUUGACGGUAGCCGGCCUGAGAGGGUGACCGGCCACAUUGGGACUGAGAUACGGCCCAGACUCCUACGGGAGGCAGCAGUGGGGAAUAUUGCACAAUGGGCGGAAGCCUGAUGCAGCAACGCCGCGUGCGGGAUGACGGCCUUCGGGUUGUAAACCGCUUUCGCCUGUGACGAAGCGUGAGUGACGGUAAUGGGUAAAGAAGCACCGGCUAACUACGUG
rnacentral:rRNA from 1 species